AACUGUGAAGAUAAACCUGUGUUGACUCCAUCUAGACUGGUGGUGAAGUACGGUGAUCCAGCCUCUGCCACAUGUGUGGCUUGUCAAAAGGACUGUCUUCCUGUUGAUGAGAGCGUUAUUGAUAUGGAAGUAUCUGUGGGAAAAAGCUCAACAAAUGGAACCACAGUGAAUUGGACUGUAGACCGUCUUACAGUAUGGGACAGUGAACCAAAAUGCUACUAUACUGACAAGAAUGAUAAACAGUGUUGCAGCCGCCUGUCCCUUACUGUGUACCAGCCUCCAGAAAAUGUUUCCAUCAGCUUAAAUCAAAGUGGACCUCUGACCGAGCAUACAGAGUACAUCCUGAAGUGCUCUGUACAAGAGGUAGCUCCCAUUC